CAACUUGAAAAAAAGUUUGGGGUGAGGGUUAUUGUAAAGGCCAAUGGAGGGCUCCUCUUCUCAACACUUACAUUCUGAUAAACCGCCUUCCGGCGCUUCCAAGUUCCUCUUCAAUCUCUCUUCUCGCGGCCACCUCUCCUCCACGGUCAUAUCCUCCAAUCUGGGGGGGAUGCGAGUUUAUAUUUGUGAGAACGACACUUCUCCGCCAGGAGCCAGCAGAUACAGACAAACCAGCAGAAAAUACUUAUUAGAUCACUCAUGCUUAAUGAUAAGAAUGGUGAUUCUUGUUCAAAGGUUGUGAAAGCUGUAGCUGAGGGUCCUAGAAAGAGGGCUGCUGAUGGAUAGCAGGGCUUCUGCAAAGAAAGCCAAAACACAAGAGGGAUAAAGCAAUCGUGCAGCUGAGUACCAUAGUUUAACUGUAGAGAG